GAUGAACGCUGGCGGCGUGCCUAAUACAUGCAAGUCGAGCGAACAGACGAGGAGCUUGCUCCUCUGACGUUAGCGGCGGACGGGUGAGUAACACGUGGAUAACCUACCUAUAAGACUGGGAUAACUUCGGGAAACCGGAGCUAAUACCGGAUAAUAUAUUGAACCGCAUGGUUCAAUAGUGAAAGACGGUUUUGCUGUCACCUAUAGAUGGAUCCGCGCCGCAUUAGCUAGUUGGUAAGGUAACGGCUUACCAAGGCAACGAUCCGUAGCCGACCUGAAAGGUUGAUCGGCCACACUGGAACUGAGCCACGGUCCAGCCUCCUACGGGAGGCGGCAGUAGGGAAUCUUCCGCAAUGGGCGAAAGCCUGACGGAGCAACGCCGCGUGAGUGAUGAAGGUCUUCGAAUCGUAAAACUCUGUUAUUAGGGAGGAACAAAUGUGUAAGUAAAUAUGCACGUCUUGACGGUACCUAAUCAGAAAGCCACGGCUAACUACGUG
rnacentral:rRNA from 1 species